rnacentral:pre_miRNA from 1 species
CCCGUGCCAAACUCCUUGGUUAUCAACUUCGAACUGCAGCUCGAGGUUGUGACCAACGGGUAUCUGAAGGCUGUCCAGCACCGCGCGGC